rnacentral:rRNA from 1 species
AGUAACGGCGAGUGAACAGGGAGAAGCCCAAAUUUGUAAUCUGGCACUUUUUACAAGUGUCCGAGUUGUAAUUUGUAGAACUGUUAUCCGUGCUGGACCAUGUACAAGUCUGUUGAAAAGCAGCAUCAUUGAAGGUGAAAAUCCUGUAGAUGAUAUGGACUACCAGUACUUUUGUGAUACGGUUUCUAAGAGUCGAGUUGUUUGGGAAUGCAGCUCAAAGUGGGUGGUAAAUUCCAUCUAAGGCUAAAUAUAAGUGAGAGACCGAUAGCAAACAAGUACCGUGAGGGAAAGAUGAAAAGAACUUUGAAAAUAGAGUUAACAGUACGUGAAAUUGCUGAAAGGGAAACGUUUGAAGUUAGUUUUGUAUUCGUUGGAUCAGCUUCGCAAGGAGUGUAUUCUGAUGAUAAGCAAGUCAACAUCAGUCUAUGGGUGUCGGAGAAGGGUUUUGAGAAUGUAGCAAUUUAAUUGUGUUAUAGCUUGAGACUUGGAUACGAUGCUUUGGAUUGAGGAACGCGUAGUAAGCUUUGAGCGGAUUCGAAAGGAUCUCCUUACUAUGGAUGUUGGUGAAAUAACUUUAAGCGACCCGUCUU